UAACACGUGGAUAACCUACCUAUAAGACUGGGAUAACUUCGGGAAACCGGAGCUAAUACCGGAUAAUAUUUUGAACCGCAUGGUUCAAAAGUGAAAGACGGUCUUGCUGUCACUUAUAGAUGGAUCCGCGCUGCAUUAGCUAGUUGGUAAGGUAACGGCUUACCAAGGCAACUAUGCAUAGCCGACCUGAGAGGGUGAUCGGCCACACUGGAACUGAGACACGGUCCAGACUCCUACGGGAGGCAGCAGAG
rnacentral:rRNA from 1 species